rnacentral:rRNA from 1 species
GACUGCGAGUCGAGCGUUUCUAGCUAUGUUGAGACGCGGCAUACGGCUCAGUAACACGUGGCUAACCUACCCUCAGGACGGGGACAAACCCGGGAAACUGGGGCUAAUAUCCGAUAGGCGAGGAAUCCUGGAAUGGUUCUUCACCCAAAGGACAUUGGAAACAUGCUUUCUCUGUCGCCUGGGGAUGGGGCCGCGACCGAUCAGGUUGUUGGUGAGGUAAUGGCUCACCAAGCCUUUAACCGGUACGGGCCAUGAGAGUGGUAGCCCGGAGAUGGGUACUGAGACAAGGACCCAGGCCCUACGGGGCGCAGCAGUCGCGAAAACUCCGCAAUGCACGAAAGUGUGACGGGGCUACCCCGAGUGCCGUCCGCUGAGGAUGGCUUUUCCUUGGUGUAACUAGCCGGGGGAAUAAGGAGAGGGCAAGACUGGUGUCAGCCGCCGCGGUAAUACCAGCUCUCCGAGUGGUAGGGAUGAUUAUUGGGCUUAAAGCGUCCGUAGCCGGCUUAGCAAGUUUCCUGUUAAAUUCAGCGACCUAAUCGUUGAGCCGCGGGAAAUACUACUAGGCUAGGAGGCGGGAGAGGUCGACGGUACUUCUGGGGUAGGGGUGAAAUCCUAUAAUCCCGGGAGGACCACCAGUGGCGAAGGCUGUCGACUAGAACGCGCUCGACGGUGAGGGACGAAAGCUGGGGGAGCGAACCGGAUUAGAUACCCGGGUAGUCCCAGCUGUAAACGAUGCGGGCUAGGUGUUGGGGUGGCUACGUGCCACUUCAGUGCCGCAGGGAAAGCCAUUAAGCCCGCCGCCUGGGGAGUACGGCCGCAAGGCUGAACUUAA